rnacentral:rRNA from 1 species
GGGUGAGUAAAAGGUAGGAAUCUACCCCUUGGACGGAGAUAGCUACUGGAAACGGUAGGUAAACUUCGAUAAGCCCGAGAGGGGAAAGUGGUGAGACAGCCUAGGGAUGAGCCUACUCUCCAUCAGGUAGUUGGUGAGAUAAAAGCUUACCAAGCCGAUGACGGAUAACCGGUGUGAGAGCAUGAACGGUCACAAGGGCACUGAGAGACGGGCCCUACUCCUACGGGAGGCAGCAGUGGGGAAUCUUGGACAAUGGGCGAAAGCCUGAUCCAGCGACGCCGCGUGGAGGAAGAAGUCCUUCGGGAUGUAAACUUCUGAACUAGCCGAAUAAAAGGCCUGUGGACACACAGGAGAAGAAAGUAGGCUAGGAAAAGUCCCGGCUAACUACGUGCCAGCAGCCGCGGUAAGACGUAGGGGGCAAGCGUUACCCGGAAUUACUGGGCGUAAAGGGGGCGUAGGCGGUAAAAGAAGUCAUCUGUGAAAACCUAUUGCUCAACGAUAGGCUAGCGGAUGAAACUGAAUUACUUGAGGGCACCAGAGGUAGACGGAAUUACCCGAGUAGGGGUGAAAUCCGCAGAUACGGGUAGGAACGCCGGUGGAGAAGUCGGUCUACUGGGGUGCACCAGACGCUGAGGCCCGAAAGCUAGGGGAGCAAACCGGAUUAGAUACCCGGGUAGUCCUAGCCGUAAACGAUGCUCACUAGGUGUAGGGAGUGAUAAACUCUCUGUGCUGAAGCGAACGCGCUAAGUGAGCCGCCUGGGGAGUACGUCCGCAAGGAUGAAACUCAAAGGAA